UGGAAGUAAUGCCACGUGUUACAACACACAGGGGAGCUUCUACUGUCAGUGUCUACCUGGGUUUGUAUCCACAACGACUUUCAAGUUUACUCCUCUCACUGGGGAUUGUAAGGACCUCAAUGAGUGUCAGGGGAAACUACAGGUUUGUACCAGCAACGCCAUUUGCCUCAACACCAUCGGGAGCUUCAACUGCCAAUGCGAACCUGGUUUCAGAUUCUCUGCUCAGGCUGGACACUGUGAAGACCUCGAUGAGUGCCAGGAGACACCUCAGGUUUGUGGCAGCAACACCAGUUGCCUCAACACCUUCGGGAGCUACCACUGCCAGUGUCAACCUGGUUUCAGAGUCUCUAAUCACACUGUGAAUGACUGAUGGAAUGUCAAAUAUCAAGUUUUCUGAUGAGUUUACCAAUGAUUUUGUCACGUCUGCUCCCGCUCCCCCCCCUCUGGCGCUCGAGGUCGCCAGACGGCUCAUCAUUACGUACGCCUCUCACCAUCGUUACGCGCCCCAGCGCUUCAUCGGACUCACUUGGACUCCAUCACGUCAUUGAUUAUCUACCCUAUAUCUGUCACCCCCUCCAGUUAAUUUCCCGUGUCUGUAUUGAUGUUGUUACGUUUCUCCUGUCCAGACGCUGUUCCUGUUAUUAAUGUCUGUUAAUCAAAUAAAUAAUCAA